AACUAAACAGGAUUCCCUUAGUAAUGGCGAAUGAACAGGGAUGAGCUCAGCAUGGAAAUCGGGGUCUCCCGACCUUGAAUUGUAGUCUGUAGAUGUACUGCCAACGGAGGCGCAGAUGUAAGCCUCUUGGAAAAGAGCAUCAACGAGGGUGAGAGUCCCGUUUGUCAUCUGCAGUCCCCCGUGCACGGUGUGCCUUCUAAGAGUCACGUUCCUCGGGAUUGGAGCGCAAAGUGGGUGGUAAAUUUCAUCUAAAGCUAAAUAUUGGUUCGAGACCGAUAGCAAACAAGUACCAUGAGGGAAAGGUGAAAAGGACUUUGAAAAGAGAGUUAAAAGUGCCUGAAAUUGCUGAAAGGGAAGCGAAUGGAACCAGUGUUCUUGAUGAGAUUGUUGCGUACUCUGGUGAUUGCUGGGUGUUCCACCGCAAGGGGGGCAUUUAGUUUUGAGCUAGAUGUGCGUGGUGUUUCUUGUCUUGUGUGUCACCGUCGGUGCACGAGCGAGUAAACCUCCAGGGGGCUGGUAGCUCGACCAUGGUUGAGUGAAUACCUUUGGCAGUACUCAUUUGUGUAUCGAUCCCUGCGUGUCUGGUUGCAGUGUUUGGGUCGCCUGGAAACUUCUGAGGGGCUUGUCCUUGAAGGAGUCCUUCUGGGCGCCCUGAGCAUCUCCCUGACACAAAGACGAUGACUAAAUGGUUCUAUUCGACCCGUCUUG
rnacentral:rRNA from 1 species